GCUCUCAAGCUUGCUGAACACGAAGGGCGAGGAGGGGUGGGCACCUUUUCACUCUCCGACAACUCUCUCUCUAAUCAUUGACAUCCUGCUUGAACGAGGUAUGACAAUUGCAGUUCCUAAUGCUUUUAUUAAGUUUCGACAUGCCAUUGCAUUUAGACAAACAAUUAUGCAUUAAUUAGAGCUCCUUGAAAUUUAAAAUUCUGUAAAGUCAUUUCUAUUUGUUAAUGGACAAUUUCAGAAUUUAUCCAAGCUUUUACCUCUGUUCUUAACUGUAAGUUGAUUUGGCUUGUUCAGGGAUAUAGCUUUUGCUAUGCAUCUAUAUUACACUAUCUCUAGAUACAUAGUAAACCUAUGGAUCUAGAAAAGCUAAUUCCACUUAUAAUUUGGAUCGGAGAGGGGAUUAAUUAGCACCGAAAUUUUGCCUCAAGUUAAUAAACACUCCAUCCUUGCUACCUGGAAGUAUCACUUUGACUUGGGACAUUUGAAGCAAACUACACGCCUCCAAACACUGCGCUUGUUAUGUACUAAAAUGGUUUUUAGCAUUGUUUAGUGCCAUGCUCAGCUAACUAGAUAAUACAAAGGAAAUACAAGAUCAUGACAGGGUCAAGUGCCCAUCAUUCAUCCUAUCACAAUUUGCAAGCUACAUGUUAGAAAAGGAGAACAGCUGGGCCUGGUUGCAUAUCAUAGCUGGAUUCAUAUAAAUUGUUUGUAUUCUGUUACAUUAUCAAGUCAUGCUGGUCAAAAUAGAAUAUCUCAUUAAAUAUAUUUUUAAUGAGAUAAUUUUCAGGCAAUUAGACAUUUCUGUUACAUUAUCACGUACGUCCAAAUGGGUCAAACAAAUAUAAUGUCUUGGAAUGAACACCGGAAAUGAUCACUCAAACAGUAGUGUAUCAGUCUCCUAAUUAUUGGUGUGCAACUUAAUUCAUCUAAGUACUUUUUCAUUGUUCAGAAAACUUUGUUUGUCUGCUAUGCACAUACUCCCUCUAGACACAAAUAAGUGUCGUUUUGGACAACAAAAUAAUCCCCAAAACACAUUUCAAUGCUUGUAAAUUAUAACAACUAUAUUUUAUGGGACCAGUAGCGACCCAACACUAGAUGAUAGCCUGGGCAAAUGAUAUGGGACUACAUUUCAAGACAAAUCUACCCAUUACAUUUCUUUUCCUGCAUGUAUCCAUUGGCUUUUCAACAAGAAUCUCUACUCCUGUUAAGACUCUACCGUGUCCUAUGAAAACUAUCACUAAAUUUGCACUGUUGUACUAUAACUUAUUGCUAGCAUGCCAUCUUAUGAACUUGUUAAUGGAAUCCUAUCAUUAUUAUUUAAAAUUAUGCUAAUGUCCUGGGUAUAGGAACAAUCACUUCAUGAAGGUAUGCCAUUUACUCAGAACGCACUACUGCUGAUCUGCAGUUUAGGUCAAUAUUUCUAGAUUGCUUUUACAUUUGGUAUUGAAGUUGACCAAAUGGAAUAUGAUUUAAUUGAUCUAGGUAACAUGUACGUGUUUCAGUAUUUUAAAUCUGACAUUAAACAAGGCUCCAUUUCAUUCUCAUUCCACAAUAAAGUGAAACAUGUAUUGUGUUUAUUUAUGUUUUCAAGUUUUAUUGUUCUUCUACCUACACAAAUCUGCAUCCUUGUUUUGCUUAUUCCUUUUUUGUUUUUAUUGUAUUUUGUUUUGCAGUAACAAGCCUCUUGACACAUGCUCCUUGCAGCCAUCACGAUUCACGACUAUCUUCUUGACCACAGAGAAGCAGUGAACGAUGCUUCACUGGAAGCCCCAGAGGCAUGACCUGUUCACUGACGCAUUUGGGUUUCGCCAGAUUAUACAUGAUGGACUCAUGUUCAUGCAUAAUUUCUCCAUUAGGUCCUAUGAGAUUGGGGCAUAUAGGACUAAAUCUAUAGAGACACUGACGAACCAUUUACAUGAAAUGAUUUAUUAAGUUUGAGGUGUGAGAUUUCAUGGCUGAGAUUGGACGAUGAAAAAGAUUGGAUUUAAUGAAUGAAACAAUACUUAAUCAUGUGAAGAUUGCUGGGCUACUAGGUGAUGGAUUUGGCUCAGACACUGACGAACCAUUCUUUUAUUGCUAGGAUUUGAUAUGGCUCUAAGAUGAUCCAGGAGAAGGUGUACACCGGAGCCAAGGUCACAACAUGAUCUUUGCAGUCCUCACUCGUUCUCU
rnacentral:lncRNA from 1 species